UAAUACGAGGGGUGCAAGCGUUAAUCGGAAUUACUGGGCGUAAAGCGUGCGUAGGCGGUUUGUUAAGCAAGAUGUGAAAGCCCAGGGCUCAACCUUGGAACUGCAUUUUGAACUGGCAGACUAGAGUACUGUAGAGGGUGGUGGAAUUUCCAGUGUAGCGGUGAAAUGCGUAGAGAUUGGAAGGAACAUCAGUGGCGAAGGCGGCCACCUGGACAGAUACUGACGCUGAGGCACGAAAGCGUGGGGAGCAAACAGGAUUAGAUACCCUGGUAGUCCACGCCGUAAACGAUGUCAACUAUCCGUUCGUAGACUUGAUCUGUGAGUGGAGCAGCUAACGCAAUAAGUUGACCGCCUGGGGAGUACGGCCGCAAGGUUA
rnacentral:rRNA from 1 species